rnacentral:rRNA from 1 species
GUGGGGAAUUUUGGACAAUGGGGGCAACCCUGAUCCAGCCAUGCCGCGUGAGUGAAGAAGGCCUUCGGGUUGUAAAGCUCUUUCGGCCGGAACGAAAUCGCGUACGUGAAUAACGUGCGUGGAUGACGGUACUGGAAGAAGAAGCACCGGCUAACUACGUGCCAGCAGCCGCGGUAAUACGUAGGGUGCGAGCGUUAAUCGGAAUUACUGGGCGUAAAGCGUGCGCAGGCGGUUCUGCAAGUCAGAUGUGAAAUCCCCGGGCUUAACCUGGGAACUGCGUUUGAAACUACGGAGCUAGAGUGCGGCAGAGGGGGGUGGAAUUCCACGUGUAGCAGUGAAAUGCGUAGAUAUGUGGAGGAACACCGAUGGCGAAGGCAGCCCCCUGGGCCGACACUGACGCUCAGGCACGAAAGCGUGGGGAGCAAACAGGAUUAGAAACCCUUGUAGUCC